CAGGACAUAAUUUAACAAGAAUAUUGGCUUUGGGGGCCAAAAGAAAGGGUUUGAGUCCCUUUGUCCUGA
rnacentral:tRNA from 2 species